UCUUUUUUUAUACUGAGCGUAUUGGAACGUUAUCGAUAAGAAGAGAGCGUUUAGGCGAACAAUGUUCUUAAAGUUUGACCUCAAAUCAGGUAGGAGUACCCGCUGAACUUAAGCAUAUCAAUAAGCGGAGGAAAAGAAACCAACCGGGAUUGCCUUAGUAACGGCGAGUGAAGCGGCAAAAGCUCAAAUUUGAAAUCUGGUACCUUCGGUGCCCGAGUUGUAAUUUGGAGAGGGCAACUUUGGGGCCGUUCCUUGUCUAUGUUCCUUGGAACAGGACGUCAUAGAGGGUGAGAAUCCCGUGUGGCGAGGAGUGCGGUUCUUUGUAAAGUGCCUUCGAAGAGUCGAGUUGUUUGGGAAUGCAGCUCUAAGUGGGUGGUAAAUUCCAUCUAAAGCUAAAUAUUGGCGAGAGACCGAUAGCGAACAAGUACAGUGAUGGAAAGAUGAAAAGAACUUUGAAAAGAGAGUGAAAAAGUACGUGAAAUUGUUGAAAGGGAAGGGCAUUUGAUCAGACAUGGUGUUUUGUGCCCUCUGCUCCUUGUGGGUAGGGGAAUCUCGCAUUUCACUGGGCCAGCAUCAGUUUUGGUGGCAGGAUAAAUCCAUAGGAAUGUAGCUUGCCUCGGUAAGUAUUAUAGCCUGUGGGAAUACUGCCAGCUGGGACUGAGGACUGCGACGUAAGUCAAGGAUGCUGGCAUAAUGGUUAUAUGCCGCCCGUCUUGAAACACGGACCAAGGUCGUCUAACGUCUAUGCGAGUGUCGGGUGUAAAACCCAUACGCGUAAUGAAAGUGAAC
rnacentral:rRNA from 1 species